rnacentral:lncRNA from 1 species
CCAAAAUACUAUUUGGCCGAAACCAAAAAGGUAAAAGAAGAAGGUAGAAAAAAAAUAAUCAAAAGAAGAUACUCAAGAAUUUAGCAAAAUUCAGCACCACAAAGCAGAACGAGGGAAGCAUUACCCAAAAACGAAAUACGAAAAACACACAAAAUGAGCCACAACCCCACUUGCCGAAUUCCCUAAGUACCAAAGUCCCCAUUCGACACACCUAUCCUCUCCCCUCACAUCCCUUGAUUUUCUCCUAAAAUAACUCUCCUUAUCCCUCCUUGAAUCACUCCACCCAAUCACAAUCUCACUAUUCUCUUCAUGAUUCACUCCUUCAUUCAAAUUCCAUAGCAUUUCAGUCAAACUCCACCACCUCAUAGCACAGGUGAUAAAAAUAAA